GUUAUCCCUAAAAGCUUGAAAAGCGAAAGCAAUUAAUUUCAAGGACAGAUUCGACGGAGGAACAUCGAUCUUACAAGCUUCUUUUACACAUUCGACGAUGAGUUGUCACGAAGAGAGCUUGUAUCUAAGGAAGAGAAAAUGUUUCAACAUAAACUCUCUCUUCGUAGGAAAGGCUUUUGCUUGUUCCUACCAUAGGGCGACAAUAUAUACGAAGACGGUAUAAGAAACUUUAUCUCCGGUACACAAAGUAAGAAUGAACACCGUUGUCAAGAUACGGAAGUCAUAAUAAUUUUUGUUGUAUCAACGGAAAUCGAUAUUUUUAGUCUAAUAAACACGGAUAGAGGAUAUCAAUAGGAAUCCAACAAGCAUCUACAGUGUACCUUUACAUCGACAUUUCAUUGAAUUACGGUGCAUUGAAGUUUAACAAGCUGUGUAAUCGCAAUAAUACGAACAAUUUUCUCAACCAAAUUACUCUAAUAAACGAUGAAUUCAUAAAUCAA